UACGUAGGGAGCAAGCGUUGUCCGGAAUCAUUGGGCGUAAAGCGCGCGUAGGUGGCUUCGUAAGUCCGUUGUGAAAGUCAAAGGCUCAACCUUUGAAAGCCGAUGGAUACUGCGGAGCUAGAGUACGGAAGAGGCGAGUGGAAUUCCUGGUGUAGCGGGUGGAAUGCGCAGAUAUCAGGAGGAACACCAAUAGCGAAGGCAGCUCGCUGGGACGUUACUGACACUGGAGGCGCGAAAGCGUUGGGGAGCGAACAGGGA
rnacentral:rRNA from 1 species